CCUACGGGUGGCAGCAGUGGGGGAUAUUGCACAAUGGGGGGAACCCUGAUGCAGCGACGCCGCGUGGGUGAAGGAGCGUUUCGGCGCGUAAAGCCCUAUCGGCAGGGGAGAAGAUGACGGUACCUGACCAAGAAGCCCCGGCUAACUACGUGCCAGCAGCCGCGGUAAUACGGAGGGGGCAAGCGUUAUCCGGAUUUACUGGGUGUAAAGGGGGCGCAGACGGCAAUGCAAGCGUGGAGUGAACGGCCGGGGCCCAACCCCGGGACUGCUCUUGGAACUGGAGGGCUGGAGUACAGGAGGGGCAGGCGGAAUUCCUAGUGUAGCGGUGAAAUGCGUAGAUAUGAGGAGGAACCCCGGUGGCGAAGGCGGCCUGCUGGACUGGGACUGACGUUGAGGCCCGAAGGCGUGGGGAGCGAACAGGAUUAGAUACCCUAGUAGUC
rnacentral:rRNA from 1 species